rnacentral:rRNA from 1 species
AAUGAACGCUGGCGGCAGGCCUAACACAUGCAAGUCGAACGCUCCGCAAGGGGAGUGGCGCACGGGUGAGUAACGCGUGGGAAUAUGCCCUUCGGUUCGGAAUAACACAGGGAAACUUGUGCUAAUACCGGAUACGAUCUACGGAUGAAAGAUUCAUCGCCGAAGGAGUAGCCCGCGUAGGAUUAGCUUGUUGGUGAGGUAAUGGCUCACCAAGGCGACGAUCCUUAGCUGGUCUGAGAGGAUGAUCAGCCACACUGGGACUGAGACACGGCCCAGACUCCUACGGGAGGCAGCAGUGGGGAAUAUUGGACAAUGGGCGAAAGCUUGAUCCAGCCAUGCCGCGUGAGUGAUGAAGGCCUUAGGGUUGUAAAGCUCUUUCGUCGGGGAAGAUAAUGACGGUACCCGGAAAAGAAGCCUCGGCUAACUCCGUGCCAGCAGCCGCAGUAAAAC